rnacentral:miRNA from 1 species
UUAUUAGCAAAUAACAAAAUAAACAAAAUAUCUCAAAAAAUGUCUAUAAUGAUGGACUGAAAAUACAAGAAAUUCGCAUGUUCUCUUUAUUAUGUUUUCGUAUAUAU